rnacentral:lncRNA from 1 species
GUUGGGGGGCUCUCUUAGGCCCAGAGUCGGGUUUCUCAAGGUGGGUUCCGCUGAGCCUCAGCGCCCAAAUCGUCGGAGGCGCUGGUUAAAAACGCAGGCUCUAAGGCCUCCACCGAGACCUACUGAAUGAUAAUCUCCUCGGUGGGGCCUGGGAUCCGCCUUUUUAGCCAGCAUGUUGGGUGAUUCCCAUGCACGCUCCUUUGAGACCUGGCCUGCUUGCAGGGCGCUGUAGUGGUGUGGUUGGUGCGUAAACCUGGAAACUGUGCGAGCUUAUGGGUUGUGUGCGUGCCCUUCUAUGGAGAGGGCCUGUUGCUUCCAUCAUGCUCUCAAAGCAUCUGGACCGGAGAGGUGUGAACUCCUGUGUUCUCUUGUUCUCACUCUCACAGCCCUGGAGAAGGGUCCCUGGGGUAGUCCUGGUACAACAAAGCAAACGCACGUCUGCGAGUAGGCCCAGCGGUACACCCUGCUGGCCCACCUUCCUCCCCGUGCCUCUGCCAGGCCCAGUCUGUAAGGGACCAGAGCCCUGGGAUCUCAUGGUGUUGCCAGGGCUUGCCAGAGUGAAGGCGAAGGCAGGUGGGGGAGCUUCUCUGUUGCAGACCACAGGCCGCCCUGGUCCCAGCGCAGGGCAGAAGCAAUUGUGCAAGCUCGCCUCUGACCCCAGCUCUGGGUGUUGCUUGAGGGUGUAAGGGCACGUGGGCUGUAGGGGCAGGAGGCUGGAUCCCAAAUCACAGGGAGCUGAGCCCCACUACUUAGUGAGCACUGAGUAUCAGGCGAGUCUUCAGCUUCUUGAGUCCUGAUUCUUCCUGUCAGGCUAGGAUAAUAACACUGCCAAGAAUUGGGAGAGUAAACUCGGUGGACACUGCUAAAGGAAAAAAUUAUUUAAUGACAUGAGUUAAAGCAUCGUAAGGAAGACUUUAUUCAGGACCAUUACCAUAGGUGUAGGGACCUCUGCUAUGAGAUUUUGCAGUUGCAGGGAGAGAGAGAUUGAGCUCAACUCCAAUUACAGCAUGGGCAAGUGGGAAUUCGUUGCUAAGGAGCAGGGUGGGGGUCAGCGGAUAGAAACUUAAUAAGGGAAACAUCAGGGCUGAGGGGGAUUCUGGCUAAACAGGUUGUAUGGAGCACCCUUGACAUAAGUAACUCCAUCUUAGAAAAAGGGUCCAUUUUACAUUUGAAAAAGCCUCAUGCCAACAGGAACCAGAUGUUCGCCUAAUCAAUAAAGACUACACCCCACCAGAUAAAGACAUAAACAGGCACACUCUUUGCUAUCAGUCCUCACCAGAGGAUUCUGUAGCCAUAAAAAGAGCAGGACUUCAGCAACUGGAGAUGACCGUCUGGAUAGACCCCAUCUUGCCCACACUCUGCCCACAUCAAAGACUCUUCCUUGCAAGACACUGAGGACUGUUUGGAUCAGGCCAGGAGACUCCCCUUGUCCAAGUCACUCUCCUUGGACUAUAUUGUUAACCGCUCCUUCCCUAUCCCCUUUUCUCUUGAUGUUAAAUGUACUUUGAUGUGGAAUGUGUAAUCUAUAACAUUUAUAUAUUGAUUAAGUAUACUACCAUGUAUGGUUGGCAGUAUUGACUGACUUGUGGAGUGACUUGAGCCUGUAUGCCCACAGCUCUUAUUACCAAGUGAAUGGGGAAAACUAAGGAGAAUUUGCCUCCUUGAGAACCCCAUGUGGCUUGUGGCUUUUAUGACUGAAAUAGCAUCAAUAAAAGCCUGACGUUGUAGAAAGACACACAUGUGCAUGAACCUGAUUAUUUCUGACUUUGUGGCACUCACAACACCAACCUAACAGAAUUCUUGCUUUAGACAGGCCAGGUGACCAGAGA